UACAGAGGGUGCAAGCGUUAAUCGGAAUUACUGGGCGUAAAGCGUGCGCAGACGGUUGCGUAAGUCAGAUGUGAAAGCCCCGGGCUCAACCUGGGAAUUGCAUUCGAGACUGCUCUGCUAGGGUGCGGAAGAGGGAAGCGGAAUUUCCGGUGUAGCGGUGAAAUGCGUAGAUAUCGGAAGGAACACCAGUGGCGAAAGCGGCUUCCUGGUCCAGCACCGACGUUCAGGCACGAAAGCGUGGGGAGCAAACAGGG
rnacentral:rRNA from 1 species